rnacentral:rRNA from 1 species
UACGAAGGGGGCUAGCGUUGCUCAGAAUUACUGGGCGUAAAGGGAGCGUAGGCGGACAUUUAAGUCAGAGGUGAAAUCCCGGAGCUUAACUUCGGAACUGCCUUUGAUACUGGAUGUCUUGAGUGUGAGAGAGGUAUGUGGAACUCCGAGUGUAGAGGUGAAAUUCGUAGAUAUUCGGAAGAACACCAGUGGCGAAGGCGACAUACUGGCUCAUUACUGACGCUGAGGCUCGAAAGCGUGGGGAGCAAACAGG